rnacentral:lncRNA from 1 species
CAACACACACUGACAAAAUUUACACAAUUAAUAAUAUUUUGGAGUAAUUUUAUAAUUUUAAUGGCGUUUAUAAAAUAAAUUUAAUGCCAAAACUAUUACCUGACAGGGAGCGUGGCUGGUGCUCUCCCGUGUAAACACAGCAGCCAUGUGUUGUGAGGAGAUGUUACAACAAAAUGUUCGGAAAUUGAACUGCUCCAUAACAGCUGAAAAUGAUAACUGGAGCAUGGAACAAAAGCUCCCACCAGCACUAUCACCACUGCCACCACCACCUAUGGCAAGAUGAGUUAACGACCUUUGGGAAAUUGAACAGCACCAUCACAACUGAAAAUGAUCACUGCAGGCUGAGACAAAAAGCUGCCAUUGUAGAACUUAUUUCCAAUGAACACUAUAACACCACCACCACUACCACAGCACCACCACCACAUAUGGCAAG